ACAGAAACAAUCUUGUGGUUGGACUAGCACUUCCCUAUUCAGCACUACAGAAGAGACAGCACGAAACUAUGGAGUGCGCUCAUGAUUCCUUUGGUGCUGUUAUAGUAGGAAUCUUCUUUGGGUCAGUGGCGGUAAUUUUACUGAUACUCGGGGUCAUUUUUCUACUUCACCAACGAUAUAUCCUUCCAGAGAAAGAGAGGAAAGGGAUGGAAGGAUUAUCAAGCAAGACGCAAGGCUCAGUACUAGUAUACGAGCAUGGGCAAUCUACAAUGAGUUAUUGCUGAAAACGUGGACAUUUGGAUGUGAGUCGGUAUUAUAUAGCCAAAAUGUCAUCUACAAUUUCAAAAGUCUUGCAAUCUUUGGAUGUGCCAGCAGGUGGCAUGGUUGUCACAAUUUCUUAUACAGUCUCUGCAACUUGGCUGUUCAUAGCUGUCUUUUUGCUAUUAUUUUUUCUUAUGUACACUUUUUAUAUUCGUUUUGUUUAUAUAUUAUUAUGAACAUGCAUCAUUUACUUUGUAAAAAGCUGCAUUAUCCAAACGGUAAAAACAUCCAGAUCUGAGGUUGUGUUCCAGGAUUACAGCAAUAGUUACAUCCAUGUCUUGCUUGUCCCUUUAUAUAUAGAGGUUACAAAAUGAAGGGGUAUUCCUCCCACACAUAUUUACCACCUAUCUAUUGAAUUGGUGACAAGUAUUAGAUGGAUGGGGACAUCCACCUUUCACUAGAAUUCCAACUCCAAUCGAACCUAAUUGCAGUUGGGGAAUGGUGCUUCCUCGUCUAUUGAUCAGUAGAGGUUCCUUCAUGGUGCACCACUUUCCAUGGUGUUUAAGGUCAUGUCCAGACAUCAGAAAUUGCCACUGUACCCCUGCAGUGUUACUUUUGCUGUAAUUUGGGGUGAUUUGACAGUAUAUUCUUCUUCUUCCUGAACAUCAUUUAUGGAUCCAUUUAGAUUGUGCCACUUUCUUUAAUAAAUUUAAUGGUCAGACUUAGAAAUUGGCUCCUGUACCCUUACAGUGUUGAUUUUUCAGACUUUGUGGGUGAUUAAAUGGUGUUCUUUGUGAUGGUGCAAUAAGACACUAGUUUGCGGGCAAGAACUCCAGAAGAAAAGGGCAUGAUCUUUGUAAUUUUGGGAUGAACAUAUUGGGACAACUUGAUUGACUCAUGGCUAGUGAACUUCGGGCAAAAUAUAGUCAAUAUGUCCAGAAUAGCCACCUCUGUUAGCAGUACAGGUUCAAGAAGGGAGCAGAGAACAGUGUGGUGCAGAGCACUGAAGAGAACCAGCAGAAGUAGUGGCUCUAGAAAAGUGGAGCAGCUCCAGAACAGUGGAUUUUACCAGCUCCAGAUUAGUCAAAUCACUAAAGCAGACCAGAGAGUUAGAUACUGCAUGGAUCGUCCAGUCAUUGAGAGAAGCAGCAAAACUACCUGUAACAUGUCUGUAGAGGAGUUCAGCAAAAAUCAGGAGGCACCUAGUGCUCCAAUGUCCUGAUUAAGAAUUCAGAGACUGUGUUGUCAUAAUGUAAUAGAGUCUAUGAUGUGUAAAGAACUCCAAAGGCUGUUAAAGGAGCCACUCCUGUGCACUCCCCUGGUGCACUCUGCUAUGUUCUAAAACUGUUCCAUAUUGGUUAUUUUACUAUUGUUC